GGACCUUCAUCGCUCAGGUGGUUAGAGCAAGGUUUUUGCAGUGAGAACCGGAACUUUAAUCACUGGCGAAUCACAUCAGAAGCGUAUCAAUCUUGCGCGGCACACUUCGAUCCAGUGGGUAGAUUCAACUAUUGUAAAGAAGGUGGAUCGAAAUUCCGAAGCCAUCUUGUUUAUUUCGUCUGAAGAUGAGUGCCUGCCAACCCACAGUUCCAGUGAAUCGAAACCGAACGUAGACGAUAACAAGAAAGAUCCUGUGCCAAUCGAAGCCUUUUUGGUUCCGCAUUCCUGUGCAGUGUCAAAAAUAAACAGUCUAGAGGAGAAAUCGAUAUCAACGCCAGUAAGAAUAGUGCAACCAUGUCCGACGCUUACUGGGGGCAUUCCGAAAUUCCUUGUCUCAACGCCUACUGGAAUCCAGCCGUCGAUGAUACCAGCCAUAUACCGUGGAUAAUCAAAAUUCGGACACACUUAAACUUCGGACACUACAAUUCGUAUGGGAAAUUUUCUGAAAUAUUUCAUCGAAAUGUUUCGUCGAGCUAGAUUGGAAAGACUAAUAGUUUUCGCUUGCUUUAGUAUAGAUACAUUUUAAUAAGACAUGUUAAAACAAUGCGACGAAAUGAUUAAGAGACAGUCUGAACUUUGCAGUGAAAAUUGUUUUCAAUUAUUCUUCCCGGUACUGUGUAAUCAGGUGUCCGAAAUAUGAAUCGAACCUGGCCGGUGUCCGAGGUUUGAAUCAAACCGAAGCCGGACAUUUUCAUAAAUUGCAAACUUUCUUCGCAAAAUCUUGCACAUAUUAAAUACGUAGCUCAACAAUGAAUACUGUACUUAGUGAUUGCAAUGGUGAUUUAAACGGUGUAAUUUAAAAAUGUGAGUUAACAGGAUGAUUGUAUUUCAGAAAGUGCUCCGAAGCGUCCGAAGUUUGAGUUUGCACGGUACCAUCCAGCAGUGAAGCAGUUCCCGCGUGAAACAUUCAUCGAUUCUUUUCAAGUGCCAAAGUGGUUUUCGAGAGCACGAGACCACGAUCCUUCAGAUAAUCAAGCCGCUGCGGAUGUCCGCUGGAACCCGUCAAGCAUUGCAUCUUCCUACAGUGAGAUCAACCAGAACCCGUCCGAUACGUAAGCCGCCGCCAAGUGUAAUCAAGUUUCGUCAGGUACUCAACCUGUUCCCGAGUGCUCCCCAGCUACGUGGGUCAAUCGGUAUCCAUUCGAAGGAGCCCAGUUUGAUGUCAACCGGAGAACGUUAGGAGAUGAGAGGUGUCCCUAUCCAGAUAGCAGCUACAGUGAACGCAUGGCUAGUAAGAAAACCAGUGGAGUCGUCGCCAGUCAACGUUAAGUCACUGCCAUGCGAAGCAUUGCACACCCAUGGCAAAGAAAAUCACUCGAUGGAGCAUCCAAUCAGCACCGAGAAAGAGAGCCCAUCUAAGCGAGCAUGCAUGUAUCACAGCCUUACUCCUCAAUUUUGACACAAGAAUAUCGGCUUCUUUGUUGAACACCUCCAGGAAUCCUUCCAGCAUCUUAAA